rnacentral:lncRNA from 1 species
AUUUUAAUGAAUAUUAUAUAUUAAUUUAUAUAAAAAUUUUAAAAAUUUUAAAAAUUCCAAAAUUUGACCCUCCUAACUUGGCCUUUUGAUCUCCGGUACCUGCGAUGAGGAAGUAAUGAAUAGGUGAUUAAAAAGCGAUAAAGGGUGAUGUAAAGCCCAAAUUUUGCCCGGGCCUAACAAACCCAAAAACUAAACACUACAGCCCAAAUAAAAACUAAAUGCAUUCGGCUGAAUAAGGCCCAAAUUAUUAACCCUAGCACUAGCCCAAAAUACAAAACAGAAGCAGAAAGAACCCUAGCAGUAGCCCUCUUCCCAGCCUCGGUGCCGCACAACCGCCUCCACGCACGAACACACAGUAGCCCCGCAUGUCGCGCACGUCGCGCACGUCGCACUCGCAUAGCCUACGUACUUUAAUCCAGUACCUACCUACAACAAAAUCAGGAACCACGAGCAGCAAAUGGCAGCAGAAAUUACAACAAAUGGAAGGGAGUUUUCGAGGGAUUUUUUUCAUUAUUUUUGGCUAUAUAAAGCCAAAUAAAAUCUGUAAAUAGGGGUUAGAAAAAAAUGUGGUAUUAAGAAAUAUUAAAAUACAGAAACAAGGAAUCAAAAGAAACAAUUUUGGAAGGUGAUUUUCUUCAUUUUUUUUGUAUCGCUUUCUUCGUUAUUUCUUUGUUUUUUCGUUUUUUCUGGGUGUGCAAAACAGAAAUAAAGAGAAGGAGAGAAGAUUCUUACCUGCGUGGAGGAAGACGGAGCCCUAUUUCCUUUGCCCGAAUCGGAGUCGGAGGGAAGCUUGAGGCUCGCUGAAGUGGUUGUGGCGGCUGGGGGGAGUUUGGGUUAAGGAAAACCUAGCAGAGGUUUCCCCUUUGUUUUAGUUUUUUUUUUAAAAAUGAAAUGAAAUUGUUUUUUAGAAAAAAAAUUGUUUUUAAUAAUAAAAGUAAAACGGCGCCGUUUGGUGUAGGGAUACCCGCGCGCGACCCGACCAAUUUUCUCAGGAUCUGCGUGUUUUUACUUUUAAUGGUCUAAUUCCGUAAUAAGUCCUUCCGC